AACGAACGCUGGCGGCAUGCCUAACACAUGCAAGUCGAACGAGACCUUCGGGUCUAGUGGCGCACGGGUGCGUAACGCGUGGGAAUCUACCCUUGGGUUCGGAAUAACAGUUAGAAAUGACUGCUAAUACCGGAUGAUGACGUAAGUCCAAAGAUUUAUCGCCCAAGGAUGAGCCCGCGUAAGAUUAGCUUGUUGGUGGGGUAAUGGCCUACCAAGGGGACGGUCUUUAGCUGGUCUGAGAGGGUGAUCAGCCACACUGGGACUGGGACACGGCCAAGACUCCUACGGGAGGCAGCAGUGGGGAAUAUUGGACAAUGGGCGAAAGCCUGAUCCAGCAAUGCCGCGUGAGUGAUGAAGGCCUUAGGGUUGUAAAGCUCUUUUACCAGGGAUGAUAAUGACAGUACCUGGAGAAUAAGCUCCGGCUAACUCCGUGCCAGCCGCCGCCGUAA
rnacentral:rRNA from 1 species